rnacentral:tRNA from 1 species
GGGCAUGGCGCAGUCUGGUAGCGCAUCUGCUUUGGGAGCAGAGGGUCCGGCGUUCGUUAUGGGCACUGACCGAUUCUGUUCA